AGUGAACGCUGGCGGUAGGCCUAACACAUGCAAGUCGAACGGCAGCACAGUAAGAGCUUGCUCUUACGGGUGGCGAGUGGCGGACGAGUGAGGAAUACAUCGGAAUCUACUUUUUCGUGGGGGAUAACGUAGGGAAACUUACGCUAAUACCGCAUACGACCUACGGGUGAAAGCAGGGGAUCUUCGGACCUUGCGCGAUUGAAUGAGCCGAUGUCGGAUUAGCUAGUUGGCGGGGUAAAGGCCCACCAAGGCGACGAUCCGUAGCUGGUCUGAGAGGAUGAUCAGCCACACUGGAACUGAGACACGGUCCAGACUCCUACGGGAGGCGGCAGUGGGGAAUAUUGGACAAUGGGCGCAAGCCUGAUCCAGCCAUACCGCGUGGGUGAAGAAGGCCUUCGGGUUGUAAAGCCCUUUUGUUGGGAAAGAAAAGCAGCAGGUUAAUACCCCGCUGUUCUGACGGUACCCAAAGAAUAAGCACCGGCUAACUUCGUG
rnacentral:rRNA from 1 species